rnacentral:lncRNA from 1 species
CGUUCGUCCUCGAGGGAUUCGGCCCGUCGGCUCGCUCGGAUGGGCCACGCGCAGCGGGCCCACGACGGAGCCGGCACGCUCCUUCUGCUGGCGCGGCGCUCGGUCUAUGCCUCCGGCCGGCCGUUGCGGCGGCCGUGCACGGCGCUUCGGAUCGGUCGGCCGGUCUUCCCGUCCCUCAUGAAGUGUUCGCGGCCGCGCGCGCGCGCGGAGUUGGAUCGGCCUUACUUGGUCCGAUCCUUCGCCCUCGCAUGUUGCGUGGGCUCGGUCCCGUCCCGUUCGGUGAAAUCUUUGUCCGCUCUGGUGCGUCCCUGUGGGUUCCUUUGUCGGUUUUGCGGGUUCGGCCGGGCCUUCCGCGCCGGCCCGUCGGCUCGCUCGGAUGAGGCCCCGCGGAGUUGGCCCACGACGGAGCCGGCACGCUCCUUCCGCUGGUGCGGCUCUCGGUCUACGCCUCCAGCCGGCCCUUGCGGCGGCCGUGCGCGGCGCUUCGGAUCGGUCGGCCCGUCGUCCCGUCCCUGAGAAUCGCGGCCGCGCGCGCGCGGAGUUGGAUCGGCCUUACUUGGUCCGAUCCGUCGCCAUCGCAU